UACGUAGGGUGCGAGCGUUAAUCGGAAUUACUGGGCGUAAAGCGUGCGCAGGCGGUGAUGUAAGACAGAUGUGAAAUCCCCGGGCUCAACCUGGGAACUGCAUUUGUGACUGCAUCGCUGGAGUGCGGCAGAGGGGGAUGGAAUUCCGCGUGUAGCGGUGAAAUGCGUAGAUAUGUGGAGGAACACCGAUGGCGAAGGCAGCCUUCUGGGCCAACACUGACGCUCAUGCACGAAAGCGUGGGGAGCAAACAGG
rnacentral:rRNA from 1 species